AACGAACGCUGGCGGCAUGCCUAACACAUGCAAGUCGAACGAGACCUUCGGGUCUAGUGGCGCACGGGUGCGUAACGCGUGGGAACCUGCCCUUAGGUUCGGAAUAACUCCCCGACAGGGGUGCUAAUACCGGAUAAUGUCUUUGGACCAAAGAUUUAUCGCCUUUGGAUGGGCCCGCGUUGGAUUAGCUAGUUGGUAGGGUAAAAGCCUACCAAGGCGACGAUCCAUAGCUGGUCUGAGAGGAUGAUCAGCCACACUGGGACUGAGACACGGCCCAGACUCCUACGGGAGGCAGCAGUGGGGAAUAGUGGACAAUGGGCGAAAGCCUGAUCCAGCAAUGCCGCGUGAGUGAUGAAGGCCUUAGGGUUGUAAAGCGCUUUUACCCGGGAUGAUAAUGACAGUACCGGGAGAAUAAGCUCCGGCUAACUCCGUG
rnacentral:rRNA from 1 species